GUUUCGCGUCUCUCUCUCGAAGACAACCGAACCCUCAAGCUUUCUCUCUCUCACAAGGGCGCGCCACCACCCUCAGCCAGAACCGGCCACCAGGCCAAUACUUGCACCAGUCUCGACCUCGCUGGUGGCAAUAGGUGUCACCGGAACCAUGGUUGGCCACCGCGUCCUCUUUGCGUCUCUCUCUCAAUCGCAACCGCCCAGGAUUGGGUUCCUUCGCCACCACACGACUCGACCGGCCGCCGUUCCCAUCCGGUCAGCCAUGGCAACGCCGACAUCCUCGCCACCAUCCGGCCAGCCAACGCAGGCCGUGACGACCUCACUCUCUCUCCUUCUGCUCGCGUCGGCCUAGGGUGUGGGGUUUGUCUCCAACCGGCCACCGCCUUAUCCAGUCUCGCCGCCGCUGGCGACGGCAGAUGCCACCAGGAUCCAGGCCAGCGUCACUGCACCGCCACCUUCCUUCUCCUCUUUCUAUUCUCGUGCUCUUGGGGUCAUCUCCUUUUCAUUUCACCGGUCACCACAACUCCAAUUGGUGAAAGAUGAUGUUGGGUUUGUUCUAUGGUACUCUGUGUAAGUUUCUGUUUAACUGGGUGCAAUUCCUUCGUUGGUUAUUGGAGAUGAACAGAGGCGUGGAGGUUUAAGCUUCAUUAUCUGGUUUGGCUCCUGGGAUUUUUGGUGUUUGAUGGGUAGACAUAGGCUGUCGCGUUGACAAAGAAUGGUGGAACAAGAAAAGCUGAAGUAAACUUGGAUUUCGGUUUGUUGGGAAGAUGAUGUAUCUGCAGAUGACGGGUUACUGGAAUUUGGGUUGCGCAGGUUUGGGUUAUGCAAAGAGAGUACUGGUCUCUAAUGGUUGGAGGUGGUGAAGCAUGUUCAGUUUGUUGGGAUGAAUGGAAAACAAAAAAACAAACCAUGUACAGAAACAAAUCAUGCAUACUCAAUAUAAUAGCAAGUUCGAUAUGAGCAGUCAAAGCCAGGCAUUACCAAAUCAGAACAGAAGGAGAAACCCCAUUAGGAGUAAAUUGUAAUCGUCUAACAUUCAUAACUUUGUGAGUGAUGAAGUUAAAGAGAACUUACCUUCUACGUUUACACUCUCUUCUCUCAAGUCCUUGUGAUCCUUUUUCUUAUGAUUCAACUCCACUUCUUUUCUUCAGUA